rnacentral:rRNA from 1 species
UGCCAGCAGCCGCGGUAAUACGGAGGGUCCGAGCGUUAAUCGGAAUUACUGGGCGUAAAGCGCGCGUAGGCGGCUUGGUCAGUCGAAUGUGAAAGCCCCGGGCUUAACCUGGGAAUUGCAUCCGAUACUGCCUGGCUAGAAUAUGGGAGAGGGAAGUGGAAUUUCCGGUGUAGCGGUGAAAUGCGUAGAUAUCGGAAGGAACACCAGUGGCGAAGGCGACUUCCUGGCCCAAUAUUGACGCUGAGGUGCGAAAGCGUGGGUAGCGAACAGGAUUAGAUA